ensembl:lncRNA
GUAACAAAUGGAAUUUUAGUAAUAAUGCUUCUAAUUAAUUUGGCCACUUAUUAAUUUGUUCAGCAGACAUUUCUGAAGGUCAUGAAACCAGGCACAGUGCCAAGUAAGCACAAUGAUAUUCUCCAUUACAGAAACUAACAAUCAAGCUUGACAGCAGUCCUGUUGUUCUCCUGGUUUACUACUGAGUUCUAUCUUUGCAAGCAAAGUGGAGUAAUCAAGCCCUAUGAGACAGAUCUUCUUUCAUCAUAUGAGAGCCUAAGGAAACAGCUCCUUAUGGAAUGUCCUGAAAAGCACUGAGGAGGAAGAGGCCAGAGACGCAUCCACAGAGAAAUCAACAGAACAUAAUCGUAAA